rnacentral:rRNA from 1 species
GUCCACGCCCUAAACUAUGUCAACUAGUUGUCGGGGAAGAAAUUCCUUGGUAACGAAGCUAACGCGUGAAGUUGACCGCCUGGGGAGUACGGCCGCAAGGUUAAAACUCAAAGGAAUUGACGGGGACCCGCACAAGCGGUGGAUUAUGUGGAUUAAUUCGAUGCAACGCGAAAACCUUACCUACCCUUGACAUGCUAGGAAGCCCGCAGAGAUGUGGGUGUGCCCGAAAGGGACCUAGACACAGGUGCUGCAUGGCUGUCGU